GGGAAACGGAAUGAAGGGGCCCGCCCCAGGCCCCCAAGCAAAAACAAAUCUAUGGGGCA
rfam:Callithrix jacchus chromosome 1, whole genome shotgun sequence